UUUAAUAAAUCCAAGCAACCCUUUCAUAAAUCCAAGCAAACUUUUCGUAAAUUCAAGCAACCUUUUCAUAAAUCUAAACAACCUUUUCGUAGGCAUCCUCGGAUUGGCCCGGGAGAUUGAAUUGAUUAUAGAAACAUGAGUGAGGGCUCUCAGCCACAUGGAUAG
rnacentral:rRNA from 1 species